rnacentral:rRNA from 1 species
UACGGGGGGAGCAAGCGUUGUUCGGAAUUACUGGGCGUAAAGGGCGCGUAGGCGGCCUCUUAAGUCGAACGUGAAAUCCCCGGGCUCAACCCGGGAACUGCGUCCGAUACUGGGAGGCUUGAAUCCGGGAGAGGGAUGUGGAAUUCCAGGUGUAGCGGUGAAAUGCGUAGAUAUCUGGAGGAACACCGGUGGCGCAGGCGGCAUCCUGGACCGGUAUUGACGCUGAGGCGCGAAAGCUAGGGGAGCAAACGGG